UCUGUUUAUAUGUCCGAGAUAUGUCCAUUGUUAGCAUAAUAUGAAAUAAUUCCAACGGCCUACUCAUAUGUUCACUUGACUGUGUUGCUACAUUUCAGGGUAUACUAUAUUUUUUGAUAAUGCUCACAAUUUCUUUCUUAUUAUAUAGUUUUGCAGUUCUGACUGAGUACAAUCCUAAUCAUUACAAUAAAUGGUGUCAUCGGAAGCUGAUGUAUUAAUUGAUUGUUCAGAAACAGAUUGUUCAGGUGUUCUGUGAUAGGGGUCGCAUUAAAACAAUAAUUGGGACAAAAACUGACUUAGUAUUUCUAUAUAUGAUAUUAUACAGUAUUUAGUGGCAAUUAGCUAGCCAUGGCAACUGGUCAUGCUACAGUAUAUAAUUUGGAUAAUGCAAAUAUAAAUGUUAUGGCUAGCUUUGCCACAGACAGUAUUAUAAUUAUACAUACAAAAGUAAGAAAUUAUAAGCAUUGAAAGUAUUCAUAUUAUACCGUCCAUGCAGGCCAUGCUAAGAAAGUAGAAUUAGAAUAUUUAGCUAACCUUUGAUUUUGUGCAAGGUGUUUGAUAUUCAAAUUGCAUUUUUCCCACUUCCUGAACAGGUAUCUUAUGGGCUAUUUACAUGUUGGAAGGUGGGAUGAUUUUGAUGUAUUGAAAUAAGGCUAAACAAAAGUCCAAAUGCUGGUUAAUUAACAGAAAUUAAAUGUUGUACAGAAGAUCUAGCAGUUCAAGCAGCUUAUUAUUACCAGGGGCGUUGGAACGACUGUAAAAGUGGGGGAGGAAUGCGGGUGACGACAGGUAACAGUGUAGGGG